rnacentral:tRNA from 1 species
GCCGUCUUAGCUCAGCUGGUAGAGCAACGGUUUUGUAAACCGUAGGUCCGGGGUUCGAACCCCCGAGACGGCU